CGUAACAAGGUCUCCGUAGGUGAACCUGCGGAGGGAUCAUUACACAAAUAUGAAGCCGGACUGGGAUAGGGCCUCGCUGCCUUGCCCGUCUGGCGCCAUAUUCACCCAUGUCUUUUUGCGUACUACUUGUUUCCUUGGCGGGUCCGCCCGCCAAUUGGACCUUAUUCAAACCUUUUUUUCAGUUGCAAUCAGCGUCAGCAAAACAAAUGUAAUCAAUUACAACUUUCAACAACGGAUCUCUUGGUUCUGGCAUCGAUGAAGAACGCAGCGAAAUGCGAUAAGUAGUGUGAAUUGCAGAAUUCAGUGAAUCAUCGAAUCUUUGAACGCACAUUGCGCCCUUUGGUAUUCCAAAGGGCAUGCCUGUUCGAGCGUCAUUUGUACCCUCAAGCUUUGCUUGGUGUUGGGCGUCUUGUCUCACUCCCGAGACUCGCCUUAAAAUCAUUGGCAGCCGGCCUACUGGUUUCGGAGCGCAGCACAUUAUUUGCGCUCUUGUCCAGCCGCGGUCGCGCGUCCAUGAAGCUUCUUUCAACCUUUUGACCUCGGAUCAGGUAGGGAUACCCGCUGAACUUAAGCAUAUCA
rnacentral:rRNA from 1 species